rnacentral:tRNA from 1 species
CACCCAGUGGAGCAGUAGGUAGCUCACUUUAACAUAACCUGGAGCAUAAUAGAUGCGAUCGUGAAAAGCAAAGGGGUUAAAGAGGUCGGGGGUUCGAGUCCCCCCUGGGUUA